CGACGUUAGCGGCGGACGGGUGAGUAACACGUAGGUAACCUACCUAUAAGACUGGGAUAACUUCGGGAAACCGGAGCUAAUACCGGAUAAUAUUUCGAACCGCAUGGUUCGAUAGUGAAAGAUGGCUUUACUAUCACUUAUAGAUGGACCUGCGCCGUAUUAGCUAGUUGGUAAGGUAACGGCUUACCAAGGCAACGAUACGUAGCCGACCUGAGAGGGUGAUCGGCCACACUGGAACUGAGACACGGUCCAG
rnacentral:rRNA from 1 species